rnacentral:lncRNA from 1 species
CGAAAGUAACCUUCACAACCCUGGUCACCUCCAACCAGGCUCCAAAAAGGAUUUUCUCUUUCGUUUUUUCACUCCGCCUGUCUCCAUAUCAUGUUUAAUGUAACAAGGAGUGGGACAAUCAAAACAGCAGGCAGUCAGCCCUGGUGUCGAGGCUGUGGCUACAGGAAAUUGAUGUGGAGGGAAAUGGCUUGGUGGCAAACUUUUACUAUUAACUCAGUCAUGUAUGGUAGAGGUCGGUGCAGGCAGCUAAAAAAUUGGGCUCCACACAGGCAAUUUUAGGUUUUUGCCAGACUGUGCUCCCCUCAGCUACGGCCUGUUCACACCUCGUUGUCUCCAUCCACCUCCACUCGCUGAUAAUCACGGAGCAGCUCUCUCCUUUUUACACUCCUUUUCUUUUUCUCCCGCUGCAGCUUUGGCCAGGAAGGAGCUUUCACAACUCAACCUGUGUGGCCACCCGACAAGCGAGUCCAAAGUUUUGCAGGAACUCUGCACAGCUAGUCCUCGGUUUUCCACGGGCUCGAGGAAAUGAGAAGGAAGGGAAGAGAGAGUACAGGUUUGAGGUGUUGGUGGACGUGCAGUGGACGGGAUCUCAGUCAGGCCCAACCCCCGCUCCUCCAAACAUGGUUACUUCUGGUUCCAAUGGGUGACUUCACGUUCUCCAGAGUGAAAUCCAGUUAAUCGUGGUGACAACGCAUAUAGUGACGCGUCAUGAUCUCUGAGCCAUGAUUGGGUCACUUCCAAGUCUGAGUAGUAAUGCUUGUGGUCUGAGUCGG